ACCGUGUCAUACUGCACUGUGUCAUACUGCACUGUGUCAUACUGAACUGUGCCAUGCUGAAGCAUGUCAUACUGCAGUGUGUCAUACUGCACUGUGUCAUAUUGCACUGUUAUACUGCACCAUGUCAUACUGCACCAUGUCAUACUGCACCGUGUCAUACUGCACCGUGUCAUACUGCACCGUGUCAUACUGCACUGUGCCAUGCUGAAGCAUGUCAUACUGCAGUGUGUCAUAUUGCACUGUUAUACUGCACCAUGUCAUACUGCACCGUGUCAUACUGCACUGUGUCAUACUGCACUGUGUCAUAUUGCACUGUUAUACUGCACCAUGUCAUACUGCACCGUGUCAUACUGCACCGUGUCAUACUGCACUGUGUCAUACUGCACUGUCUCAUACUGAACUGUGCCAUGCUGAAGCAUGUCAUACUGCAGUGUGUCAUACUGCACUGUGUCAUAUUGCACUGUUAUACUGCACCAUGUCAUACUGCACCGUGUCAUACUGCACCGUGUCAUACUGCACUGUGUCAUACUGCACUGUGUCAUACUGCACUGUGCCAUGCUGAAGCAUGUCAUACUGCAGUGUGUCAUACUGCACUGUGUCAUAUUGCACUGUUAUACUGCACCAUGUCAUACUGCACCGUGUCAUACUGCACCGUGUCAUACUGCACCGUGUCAUACUGCACUGUGUCAUACUGCACUGUGUCAUACUGAACUGUGCCAUGCUGAAGCAUGUCAUACUGCAGUGUGUCAUACUGCACUGUGUCAUAUUGCACUGUUAUACUGCACCAUGUCAUACUGCACCAUGUCAUACUGCACCGUGUCAUACUGCACCGUGUCAUACUGCACCGUGUCAUACUGCACUGUGCCAUGCUGAAGCAUGUCAUACUGCAGUGUGUCAUAUUGCACUGUUAUACUGCACCAUGUCAUACUGCACCGUGCCAUACUGCACUGUGUCAUACUGCACUGUGUCAUACUGCACUGUGUCAUACUGCACUGUGCCAUGCUGAAGCGUGUCAUACUGCAGUGUGUCAUACAGCACUCUCUCAUACUGCACUGUGUCAUACUGCACUGUGCCAUGCUGAAGCGUGUCAUACUGCACUGUGUCAUACUGCACUGUGUCAUACAGCACUCUCUCAUACUGCACUGUGUCAUACUGCACUGUGUCAUACUGCACUGUGUCAUACUGCACUGUGUCAUACUGCACUGUGUCAUACUGCACUGUGUCAUACAGCACUCUCUCAUACUGCACUGUGUCAUACUGCACUGUGUCAUACUGCACUGUGUCAUACUGCACUGUGUCAUACAGCACUCUCUCAUACUGCACUGUGUCAUACUGCACUGUGUCAUACUGCACUGUGCCAUGCUGAAGCGUGUCAUACUGCAGUGUGUCAUACUGCACUGUGUCAUAUUGCACUGUUAUACUGCACCAUGUCAUACUGCACCGUGUCAUACUGCACCGUGUCAUACUGCACUGUGUCAUACAGCACUGUGUCAUACUGCACUGUGUCAUACUGCACUGUGCCAUGCUGAAGCGUGUCAUACUGCAGUGUGUCAUACUGCACUGUGUCAUAUUGCACUGUUAUACUGCACCAUGUCAUACUGCACCGUGUCAUACUGCACUGUGUCAUACUGCACCGUGUCAUACUGCACUGUGCCAUGCUGAAGUGUGUCACACUGCAGUGUGUCAUACAGCACUGUGUCAUAUUGCACUGUGUCAUACUGCACCAUGUCAUACUGCACCAUGUCAUA
rnacentral:lncRNA from 1 species